AAGAGCCGGAUGCGGGAAAACUGCAAGUCCGGUUCCGUGAGGGGUGCGCGCUCAAUCGAGCCAUGGAGCAAAUACUGUGACACUCUCAGAGGAAACGGAGAGAAACGGGGAAUACAAAGCGUCUCCUAAAGUUCGAAAGGCACGUAUCUACUCGAC
rnacentral:ncRNA from 1 species